GGGAAACAGCCCAGAUCAUCAGCUAAGGUCCCUAAAUAAUAACUAAGUGAUAAAGGAUGUAAAUCGACAUAGACAACCAGGAGGUUGGCCUAGAAGCAGCAAUUUCCUUUAAAAAGUGCGUAAUAGCUUACUGGUUAAGUCUUUUUGCGCCGAAAAUGAACGGGGCUAAGUUAUUUACCGAAGCUAUGAGAUUUAUCGGUAGAGGAGCGUUCUGUUUUAGUGAGAAGCAAAAAUGGAAGUUUUUGUGGACUAUUCAGAAGUGAGAAUGUCGGCUUAAGUAACGAAAACAUCAGUGGAAAUCUGAUGCCCCGAAAACUCGAGGUUUCCUUUUCAAGGUUCGUCCAAAAAGGGUUAGUCAGGUCCUAAAAUGAGGUUUAAAAACGUAGUUGAUGGAAAACAGGUUAAUAUUCCUGUACAAUAUUUAAUGUUUAAUAGGGACGAAGGAGGCUAUACAAACCAGAUUUUGGUUGUUUUGGUUUAAGUUUUCAAGGUGUUGAGAGAUAUAUAAAAAUAUCUUGAGUUGAGAAACGAAUAAGAAUAUGCUAUGGUAUAUGAACUUGUAGAUGUCAUACUUCCAAGAAAAUCUUUGAUUACUUUAUUUAAAUGUUCCUGUACCAAACCGACACAGGUGAGUUUGUAGAAUAUACUAAGGGGCGCGAGGUAACUGUUUUUAAGGAACUCGGCAAAAUUUCUCUGUAACUUCGGGAUAAAGAGAGCCUUUAAUAGGCCGCAGUGAAUUCGUCCAAGCGACUGUUUACCAAAAACACAGGUCUUUGCUAAGUUGAAAAACUAUGUAUAAGGGCCGACGCCUGCCCAGUGCUUGAAGGUUAAAGAAAUUGGUGAACUUUUUAAGUGUAGCUAGUGACUGAAGCCCUAGUGAACGGCAGUUCUAACUAUGAGAAUUCGAAGGUAGCGAAAUUCCUUGUCGGGUAAGUUCCGACCCGCACGAAAGGCGUAACGAUUUGGAUACUGUCUCAAAAACAGACUCGGUGAAAUAGAAUUAAACGUGAAGAUGCGUUUUACUUGCACUUGGACAGAAAGACCCUAUGAAGCUUUACUGUACCUUGAAAUUGAAUUUGGGCAUCUUUUGCGCAGAAUAGGUGGGAAGCAAAGAUCCUCUUUUUCGGAAGAUGGGGAGCUAACAGUGAGAUACCACUCUAAAGACGUUAGAAUUCUAAUAAUAUUUUGGUAAUCAGAUAUUUGACAUUUUCAGGGGGGCAGUUUUACUGGGGCGGUAGCCUCCUAAAGAGUAACGGAGGCGUACAAAGGUUUUUUCAAUCUAAACGGAAACUAGUUGUAGAGUAUAAAGAUAUAAGAAAGCUUGACUGUAAGACUUAGAAGUCAAACAGAGACGAAAGUCGGUCUUAGUGAUCCGACGGUUGUGUGUGGAAAUGCCGUCGCUUAACCGAUAAAAGUUACUCUAGGGAUAACAGGCUGAUCUCCCCCAAGAGUUCACAUCGACGGGGAGGUUUGGCACCUCGAUGUCGGCUCAUCGCAACCUGGGGCGGAAGUACGUCCCAAGGGUUGGGCUGUUCGCCCAUUAAAGCGGUACGUGAGCUGGGUUCAGAACGUCGAGAGACAGUUCGGUCCAUAUCCGGUGUGAGCGUUAGAGUAUUGAGGGGAAUUUUUCCUAGUACGAGAGGACCGGAAAGAACAUACCACUGAUCUACCAGUUUUAUUUACCUAAAGAAUACGCUGGGUAGUUACGUAUGGAGUGGAUAACUGC
rnacentral:rRNA from 1 species